rnacentral:rRNA from 1 species
UACGUAGGGUGCGAGCGUUGUCCGGAAUUAUUGGGCGUAAAGGGCUCGUAGGCGGUCCUGUCACGUCAGGAGUGAAAACUCGGGGCUCAACCCCGAGCCUGCUUCUGAUACGGGCAGACUGGAGGUAUGCAGGGGAGAACGGAAUUCCUGGUGUAGCGGUGGAAAUGCGCAGAUAUCAGGAGGAACACCGAUGGCGAAGGCAGGUCACUGGGCCGCAACUGACGCUGGAGGAGCGAAAGCGUGGGUAGCAAACAGG